ACAUCAUAUAUACUCAUUUAUUUUCACUCUAAUAAUUUUAUUCGAUUUAAAUUUAUACAAGUCUAUUCAUAUUGUUAAAUGUAAUUUCAUAUGAAUAAUUUAUACAUAUGAAAUUAUUGUUAAAACAAUAAUGAUUGAAAUUUUUACAUUUAAGUCUAAAUUGUUUUGUGACAUUCAUCCAUUAGAUAGUGAAUUUUGAUAAAAAUAAUAUUCUACCAUUCACUAGAUGAAUAAUAUAUCAACUCAAUUGUUGGGAUCCCUGACAUUAUUCUUUUUAAAAAUCAUGAUAUUAUUAAUUAGGAUUAUUUUAUUCAUUUUUUCGUUAUUAAUUCAAAUCCUAUCCUAAUCUUACACGAAACACAAUACAAUAGAACACUAAUAAAAUAAUAUUAUUAUAACCAAGAAAAAUUUAUUAAUUAAGUAAUGUUAACUAUUAAGUAAUUGACUCAUAAUUUUGUAUGUUUAUAAUUUUAUAUGUUGACCUAAAUCAAGAUUAAAAGAAAAUUAUUCAAUCAAGAUUUUAAUUUACCCAUAAGAAUAAAGAAAGGACAUUCACUUUGCACACGUAAAUAUCAUAUAUGUUUACAUUGCAACACAUAUCAUUAGAAUGACUUGUAUAAUAAUGUAAAAUGCAAAAUGCCAAUAAAAU
rnacentral:lncRNA from 1 species